GACAGAGGGUGCAAACGUUGUUCGGAAUUACUGGGCGUAAAGCGCACGUAGGCGGCUUUACAAGUCAGGGGUGAAAGCCCGCGGCUCAACCGCGGAAUUGCCCUUGAGACUGUAUCGCUUGAACACGGGAGAGGUGAGUGGAAUUCCGAGUGUAGAGGUGAAAUUCGUAGAUAUUCGGAAGAACACCAGUGGCGAAGGCGGCUCACUGGACCGUAGUUGACGCUGAGGUGCGAAAGCGUGGGGAGCAAACAGG
rnacentral:rRNA from 1 species